rnacentral:lncRNA from 1 species
UUUAGUAGGUCUCUACAAAUAGUAAUAUCAUUAUGAACUAUGGUAGUGAAAGUCUACAAGGCACGUGUUGCUCAAAUUAUACCAAUCUAACACUAUUUUUAUCAAUUUAAACUAACUUAGCACCCAAAGGUUAGUUUCAUUGUGCAUAAAUCACACCUAAAAAAAAAUAAAAUCGAGCUACUAAAUUAAGGACUAACAAUUUACUUUUCUUAACAACUAAAUUAAUGUCAAUCAUUUUCCACAACUAACGUCUCUUCUCAGCCGAAUUACUAACUCAAUUCUAACCUUCUGAAUUGCAUCCAAUUCAUAUAGUAGAACUUGAUAAAAAAAGAAACAAAGAGAAGAAAAAUCAAUUAGCAAAGGAUUCGCCAUACCACAAAGGAAUUCGAAGGUCGGAUUGAUUUCUUCCAUAACCAAACAGCCCACGAUACUGUCACAGUUGUUGACAGAUGCAGCGUUGCUUGCUUAGUAGAAAGUUGCCCGUCUUUGGAAUUACACCAUAUCAUUCGAUCUGGAAGUGCAGCAACCGGUAAAAUGACACGCUGUAUUUGCUGCACGACAGAUGAAUCAAUUUCCUGAAUGCAGUCUGGUAUGCGUCAUGCACCGUUAUGUAUAUAUGAAGCGGACGGAGCUGUUAGGCGCGGCCAGAGUUGCUGUGGCAGCUGCAGUCGCUCGGUAAGAGAAGUUCCCAGCCAAUUAUCGGUCCAGAAGCGAGCUCUUUCACCCGUUCGAAUGAGCCAUCGUGAGUUUUACUGAACUGUAUUAAAGUACAGUUUCAGCCCCGCCCAGAUUGCAGAGGAAAAAUACCUAGCAAAUGGUAUACCAUCACGUAGAUAACACGCACAACAUAACACGGCCCAUUCAGAAUCNNNN